rfam:Cryptosporidium parvum Iowa II chromosome 7, whole genome shotgun sequence.
UCCCAAUGAUGAUUUUGAAAUCCAAUUCAGAUUAUUAUGACGAGAAUAUUAAAUAAUAUCGAGCUUUUUAACUCUGAGGGAA